AAUCAUAAGAUUUAACUUGCAUUGUUCCAUAAAGAAGCUUGCUUAGCACAGUCAUUCCAGGAUGAUUGUGAAGUGGUAUGAUAGAGGAUGGUGGCAUGCAGAAUAUCCCUAUCUAGAAGCUCUCAGACUCGUGAAUAUGGAUAUAUUUAAUUGGCGGUAAAGAUCGGCAGGCCCCGUUACGCUGAUUCACAGGCCCAUUACAAUAACGUGCUAAUUGUGCUUCCUGCUCAAGCCCUACAUCGGAUGGCUUGAU
rnacentral:lncRNA from 1 species